AAUAGCUUCCUGGGACAGAGAAAGGAGCAGAUCUCUCUGAGAUCCAGUCCCAGCAGGGGUGGGAAGAACCCCCCUCCAUCCCCUUUGCUGACCAGGCUAUAGUCCUGGGGAAGGAACGUCGGACAAUGCGAACCCUGCACCAACUGUCUUAAGGAGCUGCCCCGCCUCGGGCAGGGUGAUGGGGCUAUCCUGGGUUGUGCCUGGAGUGCUGGAAGGGCAGUUUGAGCUUAAUUACCCCCGACCGAGGCCAGGCUGCCGAGGAAAUGUGUGAGAAGUCGCCUGACACGCUGGUUGCUGUUGGCUGGUUCUUUGAACUUUGGAAAUGACCUUGCUGCUGGUGGUCACGUCUACGCUUGACUUCUGCCAACCAGCUCUGUUGGUGUGGGGUGCGGCAAGGUGUGAUUGCUGACCGACAGAACCCUGUAGUAUAGACGCAGCUCUAACGGCCCAUCCACCUUAUUGGUUCUCUCUGCACAGCUGUCCAUGUUGAUGUUAGCUGCUGCAGUGAUGGCCACUGGUAAUAAGAACUGGGAGCGGUAGAUAGCUGGCAGAAGCAUUCACCUCUUUCUGAGUUUGCUGCAGAAUCAGGAUCCCGUGUCCCUUUGCAUGUAACUGCCAGCUUUAACUAAGACCAAAAUUGGCAACAGGCUGUCAGAUUCCAUUUGAAAACAUUCAGAACAGAUGGCUCCCUUUCUGAAAAACCGCAACUCGGAGAAAUGUGCUUUUUGAAUAUGGAGACAGCUGCUAGGUCUGAAUGAACCAACCAGCUCUGUUUGGGUAUGAAAAGUCCCCUUAAUGUCUCAUUUGUCACUGUUUGUUUGCUCCUCCCCAUCUGAGAUGAGAAGUGAGUGUUGGGCUUGUAUCUCCUUCUGGCUAUAAGGGCCCUGUCCCCCUUUAGUGACUGAAGUCCAUAUUGCUGCAGUAAAGCUUUUUAGCUUCCUAAGUGUUUCUGUUGCAUCUCUUCUGUUCAGGGGGCAACUUGGGUGCUAUGUCCAGGGACACAGACUGUCUGGGGGGAGUAGAGACCAGCCAGAUGCAGGCAGUUGUGCUUCUAACAAAGAAAAUAACCUCCUACCCAGAAGUGCCAGGCUCUUGUUUAGUUGCCCAUGAAAAAAUUCCUGGUCUUCUCUAGGAAUUGGAGGGCCAAGAGCUUUAUGGUUUUAACUUGUCAGGCUGAGACCUUUCUUACUUUUCACCCAGCCCACUGAUGAGUUGCCAUCAGAGAGUAGUGCAUUCUGGCCAAGUCUGGAUUGGAGCCAGUAACCCAGAGGAGAGGGCUCUGAUUUCAAACCUCCUGGAAACUCCAGUCACCCAAGGGUUAAUGUAUUAUUUUCCAUUGUGGUUGAGUACCUUGGAAGGAAGGGGGAGGCUGUUCUGAGCUGAGAAACAAACCCAAUGAAAGAACAGGAAAUCAAGGCAGAUGCUCCCUGUGUCUGAAGAACCUUAGUAGCCAUAUUCCUGGCAGGCCUGUCCAGCCUUCUUAGAAAAGUUGCAGUUUUUAUUCUUUCACUUCUCUUGCUCUGUCUCUUUUGAAAGCUGUGUGUGUGGGAAGCCCAGUUUCUGAAGCCCUGAGUAACUGUGGGGGCCCUGAUUACUGGCAGUCAGGGCUGCCGCAUGGGACUGAAGUUUGCAUUUUGGCCAAGUACCACUUGAUCCACUCAAGGGCCAUUGUUCUGUCUGAAUGCACCGGUAACACUACCUCGGCCCAUCCCAGGCAGGAGGCGAAGGAAACCAUUUGCCUUCCUAUGCGGAACUGUACGUAGAAUCAAGACUUUUCCCUCACUGAGUUAGGAGAAGAGAAAUCCACUGUCGGUAUAUAAUGAUCACUGGAGGGGUUGCCAAGGGGAACCCCCCCAACAUAACUUCUGUCCGGUCUUUUAGCAGCGCCAUCACCAUAGUAUCUGAGCAUGCAAUAACUAAACAACUAGCCAGGUGCAUUACGGGUCUUUCCCUUCCUUGAAACAUCAACUAUUGGCCAGAGACAGGACAUUACAAUUGUUGGACCAAGUAUGGCAAGCCCCAAAUGUGUACAAAUGUUAAUUAAACCCUCCACAUCCCCCUAUUAGGUACAAUAGGUAAAGGAUAGGUGUAUAUGUACUCCAAUAACCAGUAAUAUGCAGUCACCUCUGGAGUGGAGUGUGGCACCUGUUAUAAACAGUACAAAACAAUGCUACCCAACAGCUAGGAUGGGACACAAAGCAGGAGGGGAGAAUAUCAUACCAAAUUGAACCUGCGCAGGGAACGGACUCAGGCAAAAUACAUUUACUCUGACAGAAAUUGAGCUAGGACCCCUGGGUUCACUCCCUGCUCUUAUGAGGACUGCCUUUAGUAGACAAAGUUCAUUGUAAAUC